UUUAAUUCCAACCUCCUUUGGAGCUCCAAGUUCCAGCGACAUACGGCUGCUUUGUCGAAGACAACUUAACAACCCAGGAAAGGAUUUUCAAUGGACAACAAAGACCAUGCUCACCCAGGAAGAGUGGUACACAUGUUGAGCAAAACACAUCGCCACUGCUGGCGCUGAUGGAGCUUCCAGAUCCUUGCAGUGCCAUCCCGGCUUCCACUCACGAACCUGGCAAAGGGAAUUUUGAAGCCAAAGAAAAAAACAAAGACAACAACUACCCAUCACCAUGUUUUUCUCCAAGGUGAAACCCCAGCUACACCAUCAGCGCCUCCAGCAGAAGAGUCUCCGAGUGAACCUAAAGCCUCUACGAG